CCAAUAGCGUAUAUUAAAGUUGUUGCAGUUAAAAAGCUCGUAGUUGAAUUUUAGGCCUGACCGGACGGUCCGUCUCUGGCGAGUACUGUUCUGCUGUCGGGUCUAUCCUUCUGGUGAGCCGGUAUGCCCUUUAUUGGGUGUGUCGGGGAACCAGGACCAGUACCUUGAAAAAAUUAGAGUGUUUAAAGCGGGCUUUUGCGUGAAUAGAUUAGCAUGGAAUAAUAGAAUAGGACGUUGGUUCUAUUUUGUUGGUCUAGGACCACCGUAAUGAUUAAUAGGGAUAGUUGGGGGCAUUAGUAUUCAAUUGUCAGAGGUGAAAUUCUUGGAUUUAUUGAAGACUAACUACUGCGAAAGCAUUUGCCAAGGACGUUUUCAUUAAUCAAGAACGAAAGUUAGGGGAUCGAAGACGAUCAGAUACCGUCGUAGUCUUAACCAUAAACUAUGCCGACUAGGAAUCGGGCGACGUUAUUUUCAUGACUCGCUCGGCGCCUUAUG
rnacentral:rRNA from 1 species